GUGACGUCACACUGCCGAGAAAAGCUUCUAGCGAUGUAUCAUACUCUACCCGUACCGCAAACCGACACAGGUAGUCGAGGCGAGUAGCCUCAGGUGAGCGAGAGAACUCUCGUUAAGGAACUCGGCAAAAUGACCCCGUAACUUCGGGAGAAGGGGUGCUGACUUAAAGUCAGCCGCAGUGAAUAGGCCCAAGCAACUGUUUAUCAAAAACACAGCUCUCUGCUAAAUCGUAAGAUGAUGUAUAGGGGGUGACGCCUGCCCGGUGCUGGAAGGUUAAGAGGAGGGUUUAGCGCAAGCGAAGAUCUGAAUUGAAGCCCCAGUAAACGGCGGCCGUAACUAUAACGGUCCUAAGGUAGCGAAAUUCCUUGUCGGGUAAGUUCCGACCCGCACGAAAGGCGUAAUGAUUUGGGCACUGUCUCAACGAGAGACUCGGUGAAAUUUUAGUACCUGUGAAGAUGCAGGUUACCCGCGACAGGACGGAAAGACCCCAUGGAGCUUUACUGCAGUUUGAUAUUGAGUAUCUGUACCACAUGUACAGGAUAGGUAGGAGCCUA
rnacentral:rRNA from 1 species